UUCAGUAUUCUACAAGUAACUGGAGUAAAAGUAUUGCCAUGAGAAAAUUGUCAAACUUAAAGAUUAACCAUGAAAAUCUAAAGCAUCAAGUGCAAGCAAAUGGGUGGUAAGCAUGGCUUUGAUUUCACACGUAGGCGCUAUGUUUACAUAUGUACAUGUUGUCCAUAUUUUGCUUUGCUUCAUAUAUUAGGAGUUCAUCCCUAGCUAGCCUAUAACUUUGAUUGAAAACUUAUGAAUCUGAAACAUUUUGAUUUAAGGACA